rnacentral:rRNA from 1 species
GACGAACGCUGGCGGCGUGCCUGACACAUGCAAGUGGAGCGACGAACCAGGGCUUGCCCUGGGGCUAAGUCGCGAACGGGUGAGUAACACGUGGGUUACCUGCCUCGAUGACCGGGACAACCCGAGGAAACUCGGGCUAAUACCGGAUGUGCCCGCAAGGGGAAAGGAAGCUUCGGCCUCCGCAUCGAGAUGGGCCCGCGGCCCAUUAGCUUGUUGGUGAGGUAACGGCUCACCAAGGCUGCGAUGGGUAGCUGGUCUGAGAGGACGAUCAGCCACACUGGGACUGAGACACGGCCCAGACUCCUACGGGAGGCAGCAGUGGGGAAUCUUGCGCAAUGCGCGAAAGCGUGACGCAGCAACGCCGCGUGGGGGAAGAAGGCUUUCGGGUUGUAAACCCCUUUCAGUUGGGACGAAGCUUCGCCGAUGAAUAGUCGGUCGGAGUGACGGUACCUUCACAAGAAGCACCGGCUAACUACGUGCCAGCCGCCGCCGUAA